AAUUGGAGGGCAAGUCUGGGGUAGCAGCCGCGGUAAUUCCAGCUCCAAUAGCGUAUAUUAAAGUUGUUGCAGUUAAAAAGCUCGUAGUUGAAUUUCGGGAUCAGUACGCUGGUCGUGCCUCCGGUAUGUACUGGUGUCACUGAUUCCUCCCUUCUGAAGAACCAUCAUGCCAUUAAUUUGGUGUGGUGGGGAAUCAGGACUGUUACUUUGAAAAAAUUAGAGUGUUUAAAGCAGGCUCGCGCUUGAAUACAUUAGCAUGGAAUAAUGAAAUAGGACGUUUAUCCUAUUUUGUUGGUUUCUAGGAUUGACGUAAUGAUUAAUAGGGAUAGUUGGGGGCAUUAGUAUUCAAUUGUCAGAGGUGAAAUUCUUGGAUUUAUUGAAGACUAACUACUGCGAAAGCAUUUGCCAAGGAUGUUUUCAUUAAUCAAGAACGAAAGUUAGGGGAUCGAAGACGAUCAGAUACCGUCGUAGUCUUAACCAUAAACUAUGCCGACUAGGGAUCGGAUGAUGUUAAUUUUUUAAUGACUCAUUCGGCGCCUUACGGGAAACCAAAGUGU
rnacentral:rRNA from 1 species